rnacentral:rRNA from 1 species
AGUUUGAUCAUGGCUCAGAUUGAACGCUGGCGGCAGGCCUAACACAUGCAAGUCGAGCGGAUGAGUGGAGCUUGCUCCAUGAUUCAGCGGCGGACGGGUGAGUAAUGCCUAGGAAUCUGCCUGGUAGUGGGGGACAACGUUUCGAAAGGAACGCUAAUACCGCAUACGUCCUACGGGAGAAAGUGGGGGAUCUUCGGACCUCACGCUAUCAGAUGAGCCUAGGUCGGAUUAGCUAGUUGGUGAGGUAAAGGCUCACCAAGGCGACGAUCCGUAACUGGUCUGAGAGGAUGAUCAGUCACACUGGAACUGAGACACGGUCCAGACUCCUACGGGAGGCAGCAGUGGGGAAUAUUGGACAAUGGGCGAAAGCCUGAUCCAGCCAUGCCGCGUGUGUGAAGAAGGUCUUCGGAUUGUAAAGCACUUUAAGUUGGGAGGAAGGGCAGUAAGUUAAUACCUUGCUGUUUUGACGUUACCAACAGAAUAAGCACCGGCUAACUUCGUGCCAGCAGCCGCGGUAAUACGAAGGGUGCAAGCGUUAAUCGGAAUUACUGGGCGUAAAGCGCGCGUAGGUGGUUCGUUAAGUUGGAUGUGAAAGCCCCGGGCUCAACCUGGGAACUGCAUCCAA